GAGACUAAUCAAUUUAUUUGAGCGUGAGCUUUCGUGAGCUACAGCUCACUUCAUCGGAUGCAUCCGAUGAAGUGAGCUGUGGCUCACGAGGGCUUGUGCUCGGGUGAAUUGGUUGGUCUCUAGGGUGCCACAAGUACUCCUUUUCUUUUUGUGAAUACAGACUAACACGGCUGUUACUCUGAAACCUGUCAU